rnacentral:rRNA from 1 species
UACGUAGGGUCCAAGCGUUGUCCGGAUUUAUUGGGCGUAAAGGGCUCGUAGGCGGUUUGUCGCGUCGGGAGUGAAAACCCAGGGCUUAACCCUGGGCUGGCUUUCGAUACGGGCAGACUAGAGGUAUGCAGGGGAGAACGGAAUUCCUGGUGUAGCGGUGGAAUGCGCAGAUAUCAGGAGGAACACCGGUGGCGAAGGCGG